rnacentral:rRNA from 1 species
AUUGAACGCUGGCGGCAUGCUUUACACAUGCAAGUCGAACGGUAACAGGCCUUCGGGUGCUGACGAGUGGCGAACGGGUGAGUAAUGCAUCGGAACGUACCCAGAGGUGGGGGAUAACGCAGCGAAAGCUGUGCUAAUACCGCAUGUGAUCUGAGGAUGAAAGCGGGGGACCGAGCAGCAAUGUUUGGCCUCGCGCCUUUGGAGCGGCCGAUGUCGGAUUAGCUAGUUGGUGGGGUAAAGGCCUACCAAGGCGACGAUCCGUAGCUGGUCUGAGAGGACGACCAGCCACACUGGGACUGAGACACGGCCCAGACUCCUACGGGAGGCAGCAGUGGGGAAUUUUGGACAAUGGGCGCAAGCCUGAUCCAGCAAUGCCGCGUGCGGGAGGAAGACCUUCGGGUUGUAAACCGCUUUUGGCAGGAACGAAACGGUGUCCGCUAAUACCGGGCGCUAAUGACGGUACCUGCAGAAUAAGCACCGGCUAACUACGUG